rnacentral:rRNA from 1 species
CCUAGUGGCGGACGGGUGAGUAACGCGUGAGUAACCUGCCUUUCAGAGGGGAAUAACGUUCUGAAAAGAACGCUAAUACCGCAUAACGUACAGUUACCGCAUGGUAGCAGUACCAAAGGAGCAAUCCGCUGAAAGAUGGACUCGCGUCCGAUUAGCUAGUUGGUGGGGUAAAGGCCUACCAAGGCGACGAUCGGUAGCCGGACUGAGAGGUUGAACGGCCACAUUGGGACUGAGACACGGCCCAG